AAAGGCUGAUGGCUGAAAAACAGGUGGGGGUCCACCACCACCAGCACUAACAGAGGCUGAAGAAAAGGCCCUCAGUGAAAACAGUGGGCAACCUAUUGCUGAAGGCAUCUCUGGAGGAAGCUCAUCUGACCCAACCACCCCCCAGGACACAAGGGCCUACACAAGAGUUACUGAUGGUGUAAUCAGUCUGGUAGAACCUUCUACCAUAACAGACCUCCAUGCAGUUGAGAAUGAUGAAGACACCUUGUCAGCCGCCACAGAGAGGGAAGAUACAGAGAG